ensembl:lncRNA
AGCAGGUAGCCUAGUGGUUAGAGCAGGUAGCCUAGUGGUUAGAGCAGGUAGCCUAGUGGUUAGAGCAGGUAGCCUAGUGGUUAGAGCAGGUAGCCUAGUGAUUAGAGCAGGUAGCCUAGUGGUUAGUGGUUAGAGCAGGUAGCCUAGUGGUUAGAGCAGGUAGCCUAGUGGUUAGAGCAGGUAGCCUAGUGGUUAGUGGUUAGAGCAGGUAGCCUAGUGGUUAGAGCAGGUAGCCUAGUGGUUAGAGCAGGUAGCCUAGUGGUUAGAGCAGGUAGCCUAGUGGUUAGAGAAGGUAGCCUAGUGGUUAGAGAAGGUAGCCUAGUGGUUAGAGCAGGUAGCCUAGUGGUUAGAGAAGGUAGCCUAGUGGUUAGAGCAGGUAGCCUAGUGAUUAGAGCAGGUAGCCUAAUGGUUAGAGAAGGUAGCCUAGUGGUUAGAGCAGGUAGCCUAGUGGUUAGAGAAGGUAGCCUAGUGGUUAGAGAAGGUAGCCUAGUGAUUAGAGCAGGUAGCCUAGUGGUUAGAGAAGGUAGCCUAGUGGUUAGAGCAGGUAGCCUAGUGGUUAGAGCAGGUAGCCUAGUGGUUAGAGCAGGUAGCCUAGUGGUUAGAGAAGGUAGCCUAGUGGUUAGAGAAGGUAGCCUAGUGAUUAGAGCAGGUAGCCUAGUGGUUAGAGAAGGUAGCCUAGUGGUUAGAGCAGGUAGCCUAGUGGUUAGAGAAGGUAGCCUAGUGGUUAGAGCAGGUAGCCUAGUGGUUAGAGAAGGUAGCCUAGUGGUUAGAGCAGGUAGCCUAGUGGUUAGAGAAGGUAGCCUAGUGGUUAGAGAAGGUAGCCUAGUGGUUAGAGCAGGUAGCCUAGUGGUUAGAGAAGGUAGCCUAGUGGUUAGAGCAGGUAGCCUAGUGAUUAGAGCAGGUAGCCUAAUGGUUAGAGAAGGUAGCCUAGUGGUUAGAGCAGGUAGCCUAGUGGUUAGUGUUUAGAGCAGGUAGCCUAGUGGUUAGAGCAG